AGUUUCUGUCUCCGUCCAAAAAUUUAUUGGAUGUUUUUUAAUUCUAAUAUUAAAAAUAUAAAAUUUUGGUGGGGAGGAUUAUGACCCUUGGAUAAAGACAAAACUGAUACAUGACAGCAAAAUUGGAAGCUCUUUGACAAGGUUUUGUUAGGGGAGAUUCCCCGCUAAAGUUUUUUUUUUUUUUUUUGAGAUAGGUAGCAUGUUAUCUGCUUCGUUUAUUUCAUUUAGAAAUAAACUUAGUUAGAAGUGUGAAUCAAUUAGGAUUCGAACUUGGGACCUCGGAUAUCAAUCAUCAAGUAGCAUGUUAUCUGCUUCGUUUAUUUCAUUUAGAAAUAAACUUAGUUAGAAGUGUGAAUCAAUUAGGAUUCAAACUUAAGACCUCGGAUAUCAAUCAUCAAGUCCUUUGGCACUUGCGCUAGGGACGGUCGAUCCGCUGAAGUUUUUUUUCUCCUAAAUUCUGCUACAUGUGAGUGGGGAAAUUUUUUUUUUUGAAAAAAAUAACGUGCUAUCUGUUUCGUUUAUUUUUUAAAAAAUAAAUUUAGCAGAAAAUGUGAAGCAACUAGAUUUCGAACUUGAAACCUCAAGUUCUAACCAUUAAAUUUUUUGCCACUUGCGUUAGAGACGAUCAGUUAUGUGAGUGGGGAUGUUAAGACUAAUUCAGGUAACAGUUGGGGCACUUCUAUUUUUU
rnacentral:lncRNA from 1 species